rnacentral:rRNA from 1 species
AUUGAACGCUGGCGGCAGGCCUAACACAUGCAAGUCGAGCGGAUGAAGGGAGCUUGCUCCUGGAUUCAGCGGCGGACGGGUGAGUAAUGCCUAGGAAUCUGCCUGGUAGUGGGGGAUAACGUCCGGAAACGGGCGCUAAUACCGCAUACGUCCUGCGGGAGAAAGUGGGGGAUCUUCGGACCUCACGCUAUCAGAUGAGCCUAGGUCGGAUUAGCUAGUUGGUGGGGUAAAGGCCUACCAAGGCGACGAUCCGUAACUGGUCUGAGAGGAUGAUCAGUCACACUGGAACUGAGACACGGUCCAGACUCCUACGGGAGGCAGCAGUGGGGAAUAUUGGACAGUGGGCGAAAGCCUGAUCCAGCCAGGCCGCGUGUGUGAAGAAGGUCUUCGGAUUGUAAAGCACUUUAAGUUGGGAGGAAGGGCAGUAAGUUAAUACCUUGCUGCUUUGACGUUACCAACAGAAUAAGCACCGGCUAACUUCGUG